UACGUAGGGGGCAAGCGUUAUCCGGAUUUACUGGGUGUAAAGGGAGCGUAGACGGCAUGGCAAGCCAGAUGUGAAAUACCGGGGCUCAACCCCGGGACUGCAUUUGGAACUGUUAAGCUGGAGUGUCGGAGAGGCAGGCGGAAUUCCUAGUGUAGCGGUGAAAUGCGUAGAUAUUAGGAGGAACACCAGUGGCGAAGGCGGCCUGCUGGACGACAACUGACGUUGAGGCUCGAAAGCGUGGGGAGCAAACAGG
rnacentral:rRNA from 1 species